UGGGGAAUAUUGCACAAAUGGGCGAAAGCCCUGAUGCAGCAACGCCGCGUGAGUGAUGAAGGCCUUCGGGUUGUAAAGCUCUGUCUUUUGGGACGAUAAUGACGGUACCAAAGGAGGAAGCCACGGCUAACUACGUGCCAGCAGCCGCGGUAAUACGUAGGUGGCAAGCGUUGUCCGGAUUUACUGGGCGUAAAGGAUGCGUAGGCGGAUUUUUAAGUGAGAUGUGAAAUACCCCGGGCUUAACUUGGGUGCUGCAUUUCAAANUGGAAUCUAGAGUGCGGGAAGAGGAGAAAUGGAAUUCCUAGUGUAGCGGUGAAAUGCGUAGAGAUUAGGAAGAACACCAGUGGCGAAGGCGAUUCUCUGGACCGUAACUGACGCUGAGGCAUGAAAGCGUGGGUAGCAAACAGAUUAGAUACCCUGGUAGUCCACGCCGUAAACGAUGAGUACUAGGUGUAGGAGGUACCGACCCCUUCUGUGCCGCAGUUAACACAAUAAGUACUCCGCCUGGGAAGUACGAUCGCAAGAUUAAAACUCAAAGGAAUUGACGGGGUCAUAGCU
rnacentral:rRNA from 1 species